rnacentral:rRNA from 1 species
UAAAGCCGGGACAACCCUUGGAAACGAGGGCUAAUACCGGAUAAGUCUUAGAGAGUGGCAUCACUCUUUAAGGAAAGAUGGCCUCUAGAGAAUGCUAUCGAUUAUGGAUGGACCCGCGUCUGAUUAGCUAGUUGGUGGGGUAAAGGCCUACCAAGGCGACGAUCAGUAGCCGGCCUGAGAGGGUGAACGGCCACCACUGGGACUGAGACACGGCCCAGACUCCUACGGGAGGGCAGCAGUGGGGAAUCUUCCGCAAUGGACGAAAGUCUGACGGAGCAACGCCGCGUGUAUUGAUGAAGGUCUUCGGAUUGUAAAGUACUGUCUUUGGGGAAGAAUGGUCUCUUUGAAAAUAUUGAGGAGACAUGACGGUACCCAAGGAGGAAGCCCCGGCUAACUACGUGCCAGCCGCCGC